rnacentral:rRNA from 1 species
GACAAACGCUGGCGGCGUGCAUAAAACAUGCAAGUCGAACGGUUGGCUUCGGUCGGCCGUGGCAGACGGCUGAGUAACGCGUAGGAACCUGCCCUGGUGUGGGGGACAAGCCAUCGAAAGGUGGUCUAAUACCGCAUACGGUCCCGCUCGGAAGAGGGGGAAGAAAGCCGUGAGGCGCACGAGGAGGGGCCUGCGUCCGAUUAGCUAGUUGGUGGGGUAAGCGCCUACCAAGGCGAUGAUCGGAGCUGGUCUGAGAGGAUGAUCAGCCAGACUGGGACUGGGAGACGGCCCAGACUCCUACGGGAGGCAGCAGUUAGGAAUUUUGGGCAAUGGCCGCAAGGCUGACCCAGCAACGCCGCGUGGGGAUGAA